UUGCUGCAUUUCCUUACGCCGCCGGUAUCUCGGACGCUGACAAUGAUGUCAUUUUCCAAUGUAUCACAGCUACGCGCAAAGACUUUGAUCCGGAAGCCAAAACGGUAACGUACCUGUGGUCUCUCAGUGAUGGUCCUGGGAAGAGGAAGCACAUUGAAUUUCACCACACAGCCCGUGCCACCCCUGAGGCCACGAACUUCACAGUUGGAAAAAGUACCAAGAUCGAAGUCGCGUACGUAAAUUGGAGUGACUACAAAGACUGCGCUAUUACUGAAGUUUCACACUUUUCAGAUCAGUGCACCCUGUGGGUUUCAAAAGCGGUGGAGGACGUUGUGCCCCUCUACUGCCUGGAGCAGUUUUACGACGUCUGCGGCGUCGCGGUGCCCCUUCAUGAUAGCAACCUCUGCUUGGAUGAUGACAAUGGUGAAGAACGCGACAAUGAUUACAACGCCACUGAUGCAUGAAAACUAAAGACAGGCACUACCAAAGUCAUUGGUAUUAUCUCCACGAUGGUCAGCGACGAACGAUGCACGAACGGAAGGUGUUAAACGAAUUUGUGCCAAUAAAUUUUGGAAGACUGCGUAAUUUCUCACUUUUA